rfam:Brassica napus, WGS project CCCW01000000 data, contig: 21364
CUGACAGAAGAGAGUGAGCACACAAAAGUAAUCUGCAUAUACUGCAUUUGCUUCUCUUGCGUGCUCACUGCUCUUUCUGUCAG